UGCUGUGUUAUGCCAUCACCGGGGCAGCCCUACAGAGUGAGCCUUGGGUGGGCUGUUUGGGAAGGGGAGCCCCAAGCUUUUGGAUGACCGCAACCCCAACCAACAUCUGACCGCAAACUCAUGAGACACCUGGAGCCAGAACCCCCUAGCUGAGUUGCUCCCAAAUUCCUGAACCCCAAAGCUGAAGAGUAAUAAGUGAUUAUUCUUUUAAGCCACAGUGUGUUGGAUUUGCUCUGUAGCAAAUGAAAAUACAAGAUACAUUGCCACUUUCUCUCGGGCUGGACCCACGGCCAGACGGAUGUCCCCCAAACAUGACCUCCUGUCGCAUACAUCCAGCUCUCUGCCUGAUGUCGCCAUUGGCUUACCUGGCAGGGCUCGAACACUAAGUAGCCUCAAACUCGGCUCCUGAUUUGCUCCUGCGGCUUGUGCUUCGUCCUCCAGUGUUUCCCUGUCAGAGUAGAUGGCACCAGCCUCCAGCCACACACGCCGGAAACCUCUCUGACCUCUGCCUCCCUCAUCCCCUCAAGGUCAAUCAGACGUACAGGGACAAAGAUUGUUGUCCACAUUUGACAGUAAUCCCCCCAACCGAGAGAGCCAAAGAAUAAUGAAGAGAAAACGUUCAUGAGCUACUGUUCUCCUCCCCCACCCGUCCGACUGAGUGGAUCCAGCCUUUCUGGAAGCACCUUGGGAGUCCCCAGUAAAGUGGACGGUGCACGGAAUCACGGGCCAGGAGUUCCAGCGUGAAAGGGCGUACUGAAUUCCUAGGACCCCUUUUCUUCCCCCAACAGGGCAACGUUUCGUGGCAGGUCUGGUGUAAGAGACUGACGUACUCUCCCCAAAACAGGUAAAUUUCCUACCGAAAUGCUCUCUCCUGGAACCGCGAGCACAGAAAGCAGCGAGCUGGCUGUCUCUACAGUUGCAUCCAAGAGAUGUUAAAAAAAAAAAAAAUCUGGACGUCAUAGGCGAUAUUGAUUCAUACAUACGCAGAGACCCAAAUCGGAACGGGAGGGUAAAAAGCAAAUCAAUGAACAAAUGC